UGGGGGGCAGCAGACCCAGGGUAAGCAAUGAAGAAGGGAAGACUGGGCGGGAUGGGUUUGGGGCCGGCUGGAUGGCGUGUGCCCUUGCACUUUUGCAGUUGGAAUUUGGACAGAACUGGCAUUUUUCUGAGCCUGCAGUGCUUCGGAGGAGGGAAAUAUUAAAUCGGCGCCGUUUUGUUGGGGUGGAUUCUAUGAACUGAAGUUACCUGCUGCCCAGCUGUUGCCUUGGCUUUCUGGCCAUGAAAAAAAGCCGCAAUGGAAAAAGUCAAGGGGCUUGCAGCAGAAAUUCGAAGCGCUUAUGCGCCGUGCUGCCAAGUGCUGGUUUAAGGGAUGAACGCGCAGCCUUG